UCGACGAAGUCUUCGGACUUAGUGGCGGACGGGUGAGUAACGCGUGGGAACAUGCCCAAAGGUACGGAAUAGCCUCGGGAAACUGGGAGUAAUACCGUAUGUGCCCUACGGGGGAAAGAUUUAUCGCCUUUGGAUUGGCCCGCGUUGGAUUAGGUAGUUGGUGGGGUAAUGGCCUACCAAGCCGACGAUCCAUAGCUGGUUUGAGAGGAUGAUCAGCCACACUGGGACUGAGACACGGCCCAGACUCCUACGGGAGGCAGCAGUGGGGAAUCUUAGACAAUGGGGGAAACCCUGAUCUAGCCAUGCCGCGUGAUCGAUGAAGGCCCUAGGGUUGUAAAGAUCUUUCAGUUGGGAAGAUAAUGACUGUACCAACAGAAGAAGCCCCGGCUAACUCCGUGCCAGCAGCCGCGGUAAUACGGAGGGGGCUAGCGUUAUUCGGAAUUACUGGGCGUAAAGCGCACGUAGGCGGAUCAGAAAGUCAGAGGUGAAAUCCCAGGGCUCAACCUUGGAACUGCCUUUGAAACUCCUGAUCUUGAGUUCGAGAGAGGUGAGUGGAAUUCCGAGUGUAGAGGUGAAAUUCGUAGAUAUUCGGAGGAACACCA
rnacentral:rRNA from 1 species